rnacentral:rRNA from 1 species
UACAGAGGUCUCAAGCGUUGUUCGGAUUCAUUGGGCGUAAAGGGUGCGUAGGUGGCGCCGUAAGUCAGGUGUGAAAUUUCGGAGCUUAACUCCGAAACUGCAUUUGAUACUGCGGUGCUUGAGGACUGGAGAGGAGACUGGAAUUUACGGUGUAGCAGUGAAAUGCGUAGAGAUCGUAAGGAAGACCAGUGGCGAAGGCGGGUCUCUGGACAGUUCCUGACACUGAGGCACGAAGGCCCAGGGGAGCAAAACGGG